GUGCUUGCCUUAGUAGCUCAUACACUAAAAUUAAGAUGAUACAGAGAAGAUUAGCAUGGCUUCUGUGCAAGGAUGACACACAAAUUCAUGAAGUAAUUAAUGGCUCA